UAGUUUUAGAUACAUUUUCUAGCAUAUUCAGAAAGUACAGAGAUGCAGGUAGAACUCCAAGUGAUUCCAAUGUGUUGGCUGAGUACCACUGGAUUAGAGGAAGAGAAUGGAACGCAUGGUCCAAGAUCACAUCAGUCAAGGUUAUUGUCAAUCACAGAUCAUAAAUCGUUCAGCUGAAAUCAAACUUGGAAUGAAAAGUGCAGUAUCUCUGGUUUUACCCAAUUCUAAAAAAAUACUAUCUAUUGUCUUUUAAAUCAGAGGCGACCCAUGUAAACAUCUGACCAAGUGCUUCUGAUAUUCUUCUGUUUCACUGACCAUAUUGACUGUACCAAGAGUUGCAGUUCAGUGCCCAUAUCCUAAUGGUCUCCAGGACAAAGGCCACUAACAUGGACUCAACUAUUUACUGACUUAGCAAAUAGUUCACUUGCUCAAUGCUAAAGCAAUGAUUUGCAACCCUGAAUAUCACACAUUCAGUAGGCUGUUUUCAAAAACACCAAUGCCCAGAAUCCAGUCACAGAGAUUCGGAUUUAAUUGGUUGGAGCCUAAGUAUCCAUCCUCCCCUCCCCACCCCACCCCCAAUCCCCAAAGCUCCCUGGAAAAUUUCAAUGUGCAAUCAGGAUUGAUGACCAUUGGCUUAAGAAAUGAAGGAGCCGCUUCUUUGACAAGGAUCUGGCAGAGAAUUUAGAGGAAGUCUGACCAAGUCGGUUGAAAAGAGGCAUACUUUGCUUUCUCUCAGGGCAGGAACAGAAGCAGUCUGAACAAUCCCACCAUCGGAACAAUGCCAAUCACAAUAUUAGCAACGCUGAUGCCGUGAGGACUUAAGAGGAGACCCUGGAGACCCUCUGCCCACUUAGAGGCCUGAUGGAGCUAGAAGAGGAGCUGAGGACAAACUUAGGGCACAGCCCCUGGUGUCCCAAGUCUCCAAAGAAGCGAGAGGACACCCGCUGUGCCAGCUGAAAAUGGAAAUUCAGCAUCUUCCACUAAAUUACCUGUCCGAAGGAACCUUUGCCUAUCAAGGAGUCAAUUUCGUAGCGAUCCAUCCACUUCUCUCCGU